rnacentral:rRNA from 1 species
CGGAGGGAGCUAGCGUUGUUCGGAAUUACUGGGCGUAAAGCGUACGUAGGCGGUUAUUCAAGUCAGAGGUGAAAGCCCGGGGCUCAACCCCGGAACUGCCUUUGAAACUAGAUAGCUAGAAUCUUGGAGAGGUCAGUGGAAUUCCGAGUGUAGAGGUGAAAUUCGUAGAUAUUCGGAAGAACACCAGUGGCGAAGGCGACUGACUGGACAAGUAUUGACGCUGAGGUACGAAAGCGUGGGGAGCAAACAGGAUUAGAUACCCUGGUAGUCCACGCCGUAAACGAUGAUAACUAGCUGUCCGGGCACUUGGUGCUUGGGUGGCGCAGCUAACGCAUUAAGUUAUCCGCCUGGGGAGUACGGUCGCAGGAUUA